rnacentral:rRNA from 1 species
CUGUCCUACGGGGGGCAGCAGUGGGGAAUAUUGCACAAUGGGGGAAACCCUGAUGCAGCGACGCCGCGUGAGUGAAGAAGUAUUUCGGUAUGUAAAGCUCUAUCAGCAGGAACGAGACAAGACGGUACCUGACUAAGAAGCCCCGGCUAACUACGUGCCAGCAGCCGCGGUAAUACGUAGGGGGCAAGCGUUAUCCGGAUUUACUGGGUGUAAAGGGAGCGUAGACGGCAGAGCAAGUCUGAAGUGAAAGCCCGCGGCCCAACUGCGGGACUGCUUUGGAAACUGCCCGGCUAGAGUGCUGGAGG